GCACUAGAAGUGUAGGGGUAUUAUGCAAGAUUCCCAUUCUUGUGACCCGGGUUUGAGUCCUGGCUAGUGUA
rnacentral:tRNA from 1 species